rnacentral:lncRNA from 1 species
GUGACUCUAGGGUUGCUCAAGGUUCAUUUAAAAAGUUAUCCUAUUUCUGAAUAUUUUUCUGUACAUUAGUGUGUAUUUACCAUUUUGCCCUUCUCAUUAAGUACCUUGUUUUUAUUCCUUUUUCUUGGUUUAACUUCCACGAUUUAUUUCAAAUGCAUAUGAUCAGCUAUGGGGACGAAAAUUUUAUAGAGACUUCUCACUAUCAGGACUCAUUUGAUUUCUACAAAAAUCAUCAAAAAUAAAACAACACCCUAAGGUAGAUUUCAUGUAACUAUUCUUAACUCAAGUUUCAAUGGUAGUUUGGCUCUGAAAUUUUUACAGUGGGUUCUCUAUAUUCAAUCAGAGGUUACUAUAGUUUUCCCAUGAUUUAAUAAGAAGGACAUCUAUAUUCCAUAUUACUUUUAUUAAACCAUGUGCGCAAGUUAAGCAAGACCAAUCAUGUUUCAACAGAGACAAAUAUUUUUCUCAGGGAGGUACUUGCAUCAGGAACUCAACAAAAGUGGUUUCACAUUUUUAUUUAUUUUCUUCCAUUUAUAAAGCAAAAAC